CUUGACGACCAUAGAGCGUUGGAACCACCUGAUCCCAUCCCGAACUCAGCAGUGAAACGAUGCAUCGCCGAUGGUAGUGUGGGGUUUC
rnacentral:rRNA from 1 species